CUCGAACUCAGAAAUCUGACUACCUCUGCCUCCCGAGUGCUGGGAUUAAAGGCAUGUGCCACCACACCCAGCGUGACAUCCAAUUUUACUGUCUACAUUCUAUGUUCCACAUCCAUAAAAAAGCCCACAAUUCCCCACUGUAAUUUUAUGAGAUGUUUUUGUUGGAAUUAUCACUCAUGGAAUGCCUAACAUUAAUGAUACCUUUCCAGUAUAAAACAGGCACUCAUUAUCCCAAGACAGCAGUAAGUAAACGUAAGCUCCAAUUUCUUUAUUUGUAGUCGAACAAAGAAGGUAAUUUAACAUUAUAAACAAUCUGUAACAAAAACUUAAAGCUCAAAUAGUAUCAACAGUAAUCUUUUCAUCAUAUAAAAAUAUCCUGUUCCACUGAAAUAUACAAAUGUUAUGCAACAGUUUUGACUUUAGAUGGUUAUGAGAAAUCUUACUCAGGUACAAGUUCAUACAUUUUAAAUUAUUACCAGUUUAGUCAAAUAUAACAUGAAUUCUAUACCAUUAUUAGUAGUUGAUUUCAGAAUAAUUCUGUAUGAAACAUUAGUACAUAUGUAGUUCAUUUUCCUUUUUUUUGUUGUUUUUUGGUUUUGUUUUGUUUUGUUUUUCGAGACAGGGUUUCUCUGUAUAGCCCUGGCUGUCCUGGAAUUCACUUUGUGGAUCAGGCUGGCCUUGAACUCAGAAAUCCGCCUGCCUCUGCCUCCCAAGUGCUGGGAUUAAAGGCAUGUGCCACCACCGCCUGGCAUAGUCUAUUUUCAAAGAAAUUGCUUAGUGAAUAUAUUAGUUAGGGUUUCUUUUGCUGUGGAGAGACAUCAUAACUACAGUAACUCCUAUAAAGAAAAAUAUUUUAUUUUGGCUGACUUGCAGAUGCAGAGUUUUUGCAAAUUGUCUUCAUGGUGGGAAACAUAGUGGCAUGCAGGUAGACAUGGUGCUCCAGAGAUAGCUGAGAUUUCUACCUUUGGAUCAGCAGGCACCAGGAAGAAAGAAUGACAGUGGGUUUCACUUGAGCAUCUGAAACCUCAAGGCCCAAUCCAAUGACAUACUUCUUCCAACAAAACCACACCUACUCCAACAAGACCACACCAUCUAAUGUCACUCCCUAUAUGUCUGUGUAUGCUAUUUUCAGUCAAACCACCAGAGUGAAUAUAAGAUGCAUUUUGGGGUGUCUUAAGGUUUCCAUUGCUGUGAAAAGAUAACAUGACCAAGGCAACUCUUAAAAGAACAAUAUUUAAUCAAAGCUGGCUUACAGGUUCAGAGACUCAGAGCAUAAUCAAGAGAGAAAGUACAGCAGGGUCCAGGCAGGUACGGCACAGGAGGAGCUGAGAGUUCUACAUUUUGUUCAGGAGGCAAACAGUAGAAGACUGGCUCCCAGAUGACUAGAAAGAGGGUCUCAAAUCCUACCCCAACAGAGACACACUUCCUCCAGCAAGGCCACACCUAUUCAAACAAGGCUACACCUCCUAGUUGUGUACUCCCUCAGCCAAGCAUAUUCAAACCACCACACUGGAAAUUUUUUUUCAAAUUCAAACCAGUAUAGGGAUACCUGAUGUGACUCCAAUAUUGAAGAGUUGAACAGUGAGUGGUUAAAGACUUCCAUCCAUUCUUCAUAAAAACAAAACAAAACCAAAACAAAACAUACUUCUUGGGUGAACAGUGUAUCAGUAAUUACCCUUGCUUUUGUCUCAUGCUUAAAUUUUAUAAUGUGUUCUAAAUUUACAGCCUGUGGUAAUGGACUUCAAACAUUCUUUGCAUUUGUAACGUUUGUUUCCAGUAUGGAUUCCAGGAUGAUCUAUAAGAUUUGAGAACCAAGUAAUGGAUUUUGAACAUUCUUUACAUCUGUAAAGACUCUCUCAUGAAUGGAUUCUGUGAUGUUUUUGGAGAGAUGAGUCCUUAGCAAAAGAUUUGCCACAUUCUUUGCAUUUGUAAGGUUUCUCUCCUGUAUGGAUUCUGCAGUGGCUUUGAAGAUGUGAGCUCUGGGUAAAGGACUUGCCACAAUCUGUGCAUUUGUAAGGUUUCUCCCCUGUAUGGAUUCUGUGGUGGGUUUUAAGAGUUGAGGCCUCAGCAAAAGACUUGCCACAUUCUUUACAUUUGUAGGGUUUCUCUCCUGUAUGGAUUCUGUGGUGGGAUUUAAGAGAUGAGCCCUCGGCAAAAGACCUGCCACAAUCUUUACAUUUGUAAGGUUUCUCUCCAGUAUGAAACCUGUGAUGAAUUCGAAGAGAAUAGCCGUGAGUAAAGGACUUGCCACACUCUUUACAUUUAUAUGGUUUCUCACCAGUGUGGAUUCUCUGAUGAGCUUGCAGAUAUGAACCUGUAGUAAAAGAUCUUUUACAUAUUUUACAUUUAUAAGGUUUUUCUCCAGUAUGGAUUGUACCAUUCUCUCUGUAGCCUGAGAACUGAGAAAAGGACUUCCCACAUUCUGUAGAUUUGCAUGGCGUUCCUCCAGGUUGAAGCAUCUUAAGUCUACUGAGGUCUGAAGAACUUCUGGAGCAUUUCCCAGAUUUCCUAUAUUUUUGUUGAACAAAGGAUCUCGGAUGCCCAACAAGUUUCGAAGGAGAGGUAAUCUCCAGUCUAUAUUCUUUAUAUUUCUGAGGUUUUUCUCUAGUAUGGCUUGAAUCAUUUUGAGUCAUAUUUAAAUAGAAAUUGAAGGAUUUAUCACUUCCCAUAAACAGGCAUGGUUUUCUUUGAAUAUCAUUUACCUUAUCCCUAUCAAUGCUUGGUGAUUCAACAGAGACUUUGCUGUACUUAUCAUAUCUCUGUCUGUUAAAUUCUCUUCUAGCCUUAAUUUCAGUACACUGACUACAAUUUGAGCACUCAUUUGCAAUUUUAUACUGCUGGCUGCUUGUGGACAGCUUCUCUUGGCUAUAAUCCUGCUGGUACAAAGGUGAUUGUGUGCACUGACCAGAGACACCCCUACAUCUAUCAUUAUUGUAACAAUUCUCCAGAGAACAAUUACUUAUCUGUCCUUCACUAGGAGUUACAUCUUGUUUAUAGAUAUUCCAGGAGUCGUUACCUUGGUAAGAAAUCUCUGUAAACUGACUGUUGUGGUUAUUAUGCAGUGCAAAGUCUGUAGUAAGGCCUUUAUUAUCUUCCUGAUAUCUGUGGCAGUAUUCAGAAAUACCCAACCAAUGAUGGCUUUCACGUCCUACUGGAUUCUCAUACACAGUCUUAUGUUGAUCUACAUUGCAGUCCAUGUCAUUAGGUAGAUUUACCUGUUGAGGAAGUUGUAAAGAAUUUUCAGUCAAAUACUUCUCACAAUGAUAUCAUUAUGUGUUGUCCUGUGUUAUUAAUCCCCUUUUCGUCACAGAAUACUGAAAUACUGCUUAAUCCCAUACUCCAUAAAACAUAUCUCAAAGACUCCUAUGUACCCCCCCACCCCAUGUUACUUCUCAGUGAAUUCACACUUCUAUGAAGACUACAGUUGUGUUUCAAAGACUGACGGGAAUGUUUUCCUAAAAGAGCCUCCCGCUGUGAAUGUGGACGUGGCCCGGAGUGAGCUGUGUGAGGAGAAGGCUGAGUUUCUUUAUCUCCCCUGUCAGGAAUGUCAGCAGUGGGAGUUGCAUACACAUCAGAUCCAUCAUCCCAGAACUCAUGCUCUUCACUGUCACCUCUACGUUCCCAGAACUUCCUUACAUGUAACUUUCCAAGCCUGGAACUUCCAAAUUGUCCUGGUCCUUCUCUCUGGGCAGAUUCUUGUUUGCUCUCUAUUUUGAACAGUUCCUUGUUAUGAAAGCAAGACAGGACUGGAAGAAAUGAAAGAAAAAUCAUUAUUUCACUUUGUGGGCUUCUAUGAAAAUAAUAUAGAAACAUGAUGCAAAAAGGCACACCGCUACAAGGACUGUGCCAAGAUGAUCUCACCCAAUCUUCAGCUCUUCUGCUGUCAGGAAACAAGUGUGCUGAACAUGAUGGAUGCAAGAGGAUAGCACAUGGAGACAUAGCAUAUAAUUUGUAAUAAACGGAAGGGCUGGCCUGAACUCUGUAGUGUAACAGACAAUUCAUACAGAAUUGCAUCAUGGUGAAAACUGAAACUAUUAUUCAGUAAUAAAAACAGUCUCUUCACUUUGAAAGUGAAU
rnacentral:lncRNA from 1 species